ensembl:lncRNA
GGCCCGCUCCAUAGCAAGCUGCACUACCUGCUGUCUAUGUUAAAUAACUAUAUCUGGCCCGCUCCAUAGCAAGCUGCACUAAUGGUUGUCUAUGUUAAAUAACUAUAUCUGGCCCGCUCCAUAGCAAGCUGCACUACUGGUUGUCUAUGUUAAAUAACUAUAUCUGGCCCGCUCCAUAGCAAGCUGCACUACUGGUUGUCUAGGUUAAAUAACUAUAUCUGGCCCGCUCCAUAGCAAGCUGCACUAAUGGUUGUCUAGGUUAAAUAACUAUAUCUGGCCCGCUCCAUAGCAAGCUGCACUAAUGGUUGUCUAUGUUAAAUAACUAUAUCUGGCCCGCUCCAUAGCAAGCUGCACUACUGGUUGUCUAUGUUAAAUAACUAUAGCUGGCCCCCUCCAUAGCAAGCUGCGCUAUACACAUUGAUUUGUGUAAAAAAAAAUGUCAAAAGUUGAUUUUAGAGAUUUAAAAAGGGAAAUAAAAUGACUUUUUGGGGGUUGGAACCGGUUCAGAACUUUGUUUUGCAGGUCAGAACAAUUAUUUAUGGUUCUGUUCAGAAUAAAACGACUGGAAAAUUAUUAUAAUUCAUGAUUGAAACCGAGGCAUUUCUGAGGGCAUUACGUUCAUCCUGACUUCAUACAAGUCCGUCUUGGUUUGGCUGGAUAAGUGUUGUGAGUGUUUGAUGUGGGCCAGUGUGGAAUUUACUGUGACAGGAAGCUCUGAGCUUGUCUCUGUUUUGUACACACUGUGUUAAAUUCCCCAGUCAGCCCUGUCUGAGGUGUUUGUGUGGUCGCUAGCUUUACCCACGCCGCUCAACACCCACCGUCACAUCGAUUUACAUGCUAUCCAUGCAACAUACCCCCGGGCACACACUGGUUGAAUCAAUGUUGUUUCAACGUAAUUUGUCAAUGUAUUAUGACGUGGAAUCAACAAAAUAAAUCAACCAGUACUGUUUUUUUUAAAUAAUCUAAAUUCAACCAGCGUUGUAAUAAUUUAAAUUAGGGUAAAACUUUAACUUAAAUACAUUGACUUAACCUGACUGACAGGUUGUUACAUCAACGUCAUUGUACAAACGUCAUGCCAUCAUCUUAAAUAAAGAGGUAAUGUAUAUAAGUCACAUUCCAACAAUUCCUGCCUGAACAGUGACUCCUACUGGUAUAUGAGGGGUGAUGCACACAUCUAGCAUCCUGAAACCCACAAGCUGUGUACGUUUCAGCUGAUGUCAACAACCUAUGGAUACUGAUGGACUAGUAACUGGAAGGAUGCUCGUUCCAAUCCACGAGCUGACAAGGUCAAAAAUCUGUCGUUCUGCCCCUGAACACGGCAGUUAACCCACUGUUCCUAGGCUGUCACUGUAAAUAAUAAUUUGUUCUUAACUUACUUGCCUAGUUAAAUAAAGGUAUUUUUUGUUGUCAAAGUUUUACAGUAUAUUACUAUGUAAGAGCUCAGACACAUCAAUAGCAUUUGCUAGCUGAGAGCCAUAAUUAGCUAAACAAGUUUUACAUGUAGAAUCGUCUGAAAAUGACUUUCAGAUGUCUACAACAGCUGGUCUCUAAAACACUGCACGGCUGGUCUCUAAAACACUGCACGGCUGGUCUCUAAAACACUGCACGGCUGGUCUCUAAAACACUGCACGGCUGGUCUCUAAAACACUGCACGGCUGGUCUCUAAAACACUGCACGGCUGGUCUCUAAAACACUGCACGGCUGGUCUCUAAAACACGAUGAACGAUUGGCAGAAAAACGGUAGAUCCACAUUCAGUGCGAUAUGUGUGAGCCUUAACAUUAUUAAACCUAAUGAUAA